rnacentral:rRNA from 1 species
GACGAACGUUGGCGGCGUGCCUAAUACAUGCAAGUCAACUGAAAUACCGGUAGCAAUACUGGUAUGGAGGUGGCGCACGGGUGAGUAACACGUAGGUAAUCUGCCUUCAGGUCUGACAUAACCCAUCGAAAGGUGAGCUAAUAUCAGAUGAUGCAGCGGCUUGACAUCAAGACAGUUGUUAAAGCUUCGGCGCCUGAAGAUGAGCCUGCGCUGAUUAGCUAGUUGGCGGGGUAACGGCCCACCAAGGCUGCGAUCAGUAGCUGGUCUGAGAGGAUGAUCAGUCACACUGGAACUGAGACACGGCCCAGACUCCUACGGGAGGCAGCAGUGGGGAAUCUUGGACAAUGGGCGCAAGCCUGAUCCAGCCAUGCCGCGUGGGUGAAGAAGGCCUCGGUUG